CUUUACUGCAACUUGACGUUGGAACUUGGCUGUAUUUGUGUAGGAUAGGUGGGAGACUUUGAAGCAGGGCCGCCAGGUCUUGCGGAGUCGUCGUUGAAAUACCACCCUGGUGCUGACGAGUUUCUAACCGUGUCCGUAAGCCGGACAUGAGACAGCGUCUGGUGGGCAGUUUGACUGGGGCGGUCGCCUCCUAAAAGGUAACGGAGGCAUUCAAAGGUCCCCUCAGCGUGGUCGGUAAUCACGCGCAGAGUGCAAACGCAUAAGGGGGCUUAACUGCGAGACCGACAGGUCGAGCAGGUGCGAAAGUAGGAGUUAGUGAUCCCGCGGUUUAGCGUGGAAUUGCCGUUGCUCAAUGGAUAAAAGGUA
rnacentral:rRNA from 1 species